rnacentral:tRNA from 1 species
GGGCCGGUGGUCGAAUGGAAAGACGCUGCUCUCGCACAGCAGAGAUUUUGGGUUCGAUUCCCAACCGGUCCA